rnacentral:rRNA from 1 species
UACGUAGGGUGCGAGCGUUUGUCCGGAAUUACUGGGCGUAAAGCGUGCGCAGGCGGUUGUGCAAGACAGAUGUGAAAUCCCCGGGCUCAACCUGGGAAUUGCAUUUGUGACUGCACGGCUAGAGUGUGUCAGAGGGGGGGUAGAAUUCCACGUGUAGCAGUGAAAAUGCGUAGAGAUGUGGAGGAAUACCGAUGGCGAAGGCAGCCCCCCUGGGAUAACACUGACGCUCAUGCACGAAAGCGUGGGGGAGCAAAACAGG